rnacentral:lncRNA from 1 species
GAGAGGCAGAGAACAGGAAGGCAAGUGCUUUAGACGUGUUUACACCACCAUGGAGGAGAGUCGGCACAGAGGCCAAAGCAAAGAGGGAUUCCUUCCUUCUGUGUGGUGAAGUCCUCCAGACGUUGUGCCUGUGGCGAACGGGCAAAUUGCACCAAGCCCUGGGAUGUUGUAGAGCCUUCUACAUUAUUACCAAAGUCACACGAAAGACUUUGGACUCAUUACCCACGCGGGAAAAGCAGGCGGAUGAAGAAUGGUUAUUGUCUAGAUCAGAGCUUCUUCUGGCACAUCGACGAAGCUCAUGGAACCCUUCUCAGAAUAAUAUUGUAAAUGCAUCAAAUGAAAUCUUCUUCUUCUUCUUCUUCUUCUUCUUCUUCUUCUUCUUCUUCUUCUUCUUCUUCUUCUUCUUCUUCUUCUUCUUCUUCUUCUUCUUCUUCUUCUUCUUCUUCUUCUUCUUCUUCUUCUUCUUCUUCUUCUUCUUCUUCUUCUUCUUCUUCUUCUUCUUCUUCUUCUUCUUCUUCUUCUUCUUCUUCUUCUUCUUCUUCUUCUUCUUCUCCUCCUCCUCCUCCUCCUCCUCCUCCUUCUCCUCCUCCCCUUCCUCUUCCUCCUCCUCCUCUUCUUCCUCCUCUUCCUCUUCCUCCUCCUCCUUUUCCUUCUCCUCUUCUUUCUCCUCCUCUCUGCCUCUCUCUCUGCCUCUGUCUCUCUGUCUGUCUCUGUCUCUCUCUUUCUCCCUCUCCCUCCCUCCCUCCCUCCCUCCCUCCCUCCCUCCCUUCCUUCCUUCCUUCCUUCCUUCCUUCCUUCCUUCCUUCCUUCCUUCCUUCCUUCCUUCCUUCCUUCCUUCCUUCCUUUCCUCAUCACAGCCUAUUCAUGCUUCUCUGUAGUUGUCAUUUCUUAUAACAAUAUCUCAUUACAUUUCUGUGCCACCAAUUUCUUUCUUGUUUAGUUUUUUUUCACUCGGGUUUGACUUUUUGUGCCACCUCCCAAACCAGUGGGCAUCCACUUUUUUUGGCUGUAUUCAAGUAUAUUGCUACCUUUUGGUGAUGGUAAAAAACUGGCAACAAAUUAGAUACCCAUCAAAUGGGGAAUAAGAAAACAGAUGAACAGAGUGGAAUAUUAUUGUGUUAUAGGAUAUGAUGAAUAGGAUGAAUAGAGGAAAACAUAUAAAGUCUUCCACAAACUGUUGCAGAGAAAUGCACAGUCACAUAAACAACAUACACAAAAUAUGCAACAAUAGGAAUGAAGAGAAUCACAACCCCAAACAAUUGAAAGUGAACAUUGCAAAAUUACAAAGAACAAUGGCCUGGAAACAGGCAUCUACUUUAUUUACAAUUCUUUGCUACCACAAAUGGAAUUACAAAGAACAUGCCCCCCCCCAAGGAAUAAGAGGAGCAGCUAGGUGGCACAGAGGAUAAAGCUCUAGGUCUGGAAUGGGGAAGACCUGGCUUCAAAUCUGGUCUCAGAUACUUCCUAGCUGUGUGACCCUGGGCAUGUCACUUAACCACAAAUCCCUAGCUCUUACCACUCUUCUACCUUACAAUUGAUACUAAGACAGAAGGGAAG